AUACUUACCUGGCAGGGGAUAUACCAUAAUCAGGAAGGUGGUUUUCCCAGGGCAAGGCUUAAUCUUUGCACUCCAGAUGUGCUGACCCCCGCAAUUUCCCCAAAUGUGGGAAACUCGACAGCAUAAUUUGUGGUAGUGGGGGACUGCAUUCACACACUCCCCUA
ensembl:snRNA U1 U1 spliceosomal RNA